GGGGUUGUGGCUCAGUGGUAGAGCAUUUGCCUAGCAUGCAUGAGGCACUGAGUUCGAUUCUCAGCUCCACA
rnacentral:tRNA from 1 species